rnacentral:rRNA from 1 species
AGAGUUUGAUCCUGGCUCAGGAUGAACGCUAGCGGCAGGCUUAAUACAUGCAAGUCGAGGGGCAGCACAGGUAGCAAUACUGGGUGGCGACCGGCAAACGGGUGCGGAACACGUACGCAACCUUCCUUUAAGUGGGGGAUAGCCCAGGGAAACUUGGAUUAAUACCCCGUAAGAUUACGAUGUGGCAUCACAUUGUAAUG